GUCUCUGCUGGGAGACCUCUCCAUCCUCUUCCUGGUCAGGAAGGGGACACAGCUGGGCCCCAGAAGACCAACUGGGUGGAGGGUGAAGGUGCUGAGAGAGGAGUUGUUCUGUGUUUGAGAGUAAAUGUGGAUGAACAUCCCUUACCCCACGCUGAUGGAGCACUGCAGUGUCCCUGCCUGCCCUUCACACCAAAAGGGCUUGGAAGAUGAGCGUGCAUCUGCCCAACAGCUUUCAGAGCGAGCCAUCCCUGGCAGCCAAAGCAGAUUCUCUGUGCCUGCUUCCAAGCAGCACGAGAUGAAACAACUGGUGGCAGAGUGGGGUGUCUCUACAGUCCUAGCCAUGAAGAGAGGGGAUGAAACAUCCUGGAGCAGCACAGGGAAGAGGCUGGAGCUGGGCUGCUUUCUCCACAGCUGUAGAAUUACGGUGAAAUGGGGACUCUGUUCGUGUUUCAUUGGCUUCUCUGAGGAAAACAGCGACCAUGAGUUGAGACAGAGCCUUGGGGUGGGUGCAGGUCCCACCACCAGCUCUGCCAGCUCCCUCAGCUGGGCCUGCUUCCCUCCAGCCCAUCCUGCCUCACAGCCCCAGCUCUGGGAGGCAGGAAAGCUUUGUUCCACAGGGCUCAGCUCUUUCACCCCUCAAGCUGCUCCUAAGCAGUCUCUUCCAUUUGUGCUGAAAUGCUGUGUAGGAGCACUUGUCACUCAUCUCAGCUUGCAUUCAGCAUGUUCCCAGAACCUGGGCAUGGAUGUAGAUGAGCUGUCCAUGUGGGAACUUGCUGGGCUCUCAGAGCACCUGCUCCUUUGGGAUCUGACACAAAGGGUGCCCCCCAUGUGCCCUGAGGUCUGUGCAGUGGGAAAGUUUAUUCUGCACUAUCACUGGCAGUGUUUCCAUUCUCCUAACACCUUUCAAACAGCUUGGUAGGUUCUACCUUGUGCAGGUGUCCAUCUCCCAUUAUCUUCCUCCUACCUGAGGUACACACAGAGCCUGUGACACACAGCUGAGUGAUUUUUAUUCCCUCCACUUGAGGGAAGUAGCUUACAAUGUUUUAAACUGGUCCUCUGUGACUGACUCAUGCCACCUAUUUCUGAAACACAGCCAGUAAGGUAAGAGAAGAUUUAGAAAAGUUAACGAUGUCCAGAUCUGUUUAGGACAGGAAUGGAGCCCAAAAGUUGAAUUAAAUACUGUAAAGAACCAAGCCCAGCAUAGCUGCCCAACACAAAGCCAUGCUGUAAGAGUGUGAUGUUCCUUCCUGCUGCCUUUUUUAUUUGUUAUAGAAACUGUCUGUGCAGUUGGUGGGUUCUCCCCAGAGGGCAAAGCUGCUCUAAGAGCUCUGCACACCUCCAGGCAAGGUUCUUCCUAUGGAGGAGGUGAUGGGAGCUGGUCAAGGAGGUACUUUUCCAAAGGCAUGCCACAGGGAUCAGGGGCCAGUCCAGCCUUUUUCAUUAAUGAGGUGAAAGAUGGGGUAAGCAGCCUGUGGAUGACAUGGAGGGUGAAAAGAAGAGGGAACCAUGCCAAGGGCCAGGUCCCAGGUUCCAUCCUGGCCAAACUAAGCAGGGCUGGGCUGUGUCUGCCAUGGGCUCAGGCUUCACAUUGGCCUGGUUUUGUGAGUAAAAGCAAAGAGCUGGGGCUGAGCCUGGGCAGCCCGAGCAGCAGGCUGGGUUUGUGAGGGCAGCUUUGAGCUGAGCUUUGGCUCUGCUCUAAACCCCAGGUUUUCUGCAGGCCCAUCUUGUAAAUAUUUAAACACAGGAGUAGUAGACCCUGCAAGUCUGUGUGAGGAUUUGCAGGCAGGGAGGGGAGCAGAGUGGGUGUGAGCUGCAUGUCUCACGUGUCUGCACCCGUAUGUGCAGUCUCCCAGUGCCUUCCAGAGAGAUUUUAAUCCAGAGAGCUCUGACAGCCUUUCAGGCAUCAAUCACCCGGUGCUGCAACACCCCUGCAAGGUCAGGCAGUGUGAUCAGCCUCCCUCAGAGCAGCGUUUUGUGCCUCAGCGAGGAGGGAUGGGCAGAGGGAGAGCGGCUCUGGAGUGUGUGAUGAGAUUUCCUGCAAUCACAGCUUUCCAGAUUCCUAGAGCCAGGGAUGGGAUCCAGGUCUCCUGGAGCCCUGCUCCCUGCCCUGACCACUGAAAACACUUCCUCUCCACAGAAACCUCACCGUGAAACCACCCACCGGAGCAGGGCUUUGGAGUUUGGCAGGCAGAGCACGGGCUCGGCUCUCCCCAGUCCGCAGGCGCAUUUUUGGGGUUGUGUGUUUACUGAAAUCUUGGCUUUGCUGGUCUGCAGAGAAUAAAAGUUGAUUGUUGAGCAGCCAGGGCUCGGCGUCGCCCUGCCUGUACGUGUAAAUAGCCUGCCCAGCCAGGCCAGGCCAGGGGGGAUGGCUGGGGGGCCACAGCCUGCUCGUGUGAGGAGCCUUGUCUCUGCUCUGUGCUAAACACGUCUCUGGUUACCUGCUCUCACUGGAGCUUUUCUGGCUCCUCCAAUCCUUUCCUUGGCUGCUCUGGCUGCAGGGCCUUGUG